rnacentral:rRNA from 1 species
AGCAGCCGCCGCGGUAAUACGAAGGGUGCAAGCGUUAAUCGGAAUUACUGGGCGUAAAGCGUGCGUAGGCGGUUUGUUAAGUCUGCUGUGAAAUCCCCGGGCUCAACCUGGGAAUGGCAGUGGAUACUGGCAAGCUAGAGUGUGUCAGAGGAUGGUGGAAUUCCCGGUGUAGCGGUGAAAUGCGUAGAGAUCGGGAGGAACAUCAGUGGCGAAGGCGGCCAUCUGGGACAACACUGACGCUGAGGCACGAAAGCGUGGGGAGCAAACAGGAUUAGAUACCCAGUAGUCCCUGUCUCUUAUACA